ensembl:snoRNA
GUGCACAGUGAACACCCAUGGGUGCUAACGUAGCUCCCCCUGGUCUCCUGUAUCUGUGCCACAGUAACUCUGAUCUGUACCUCUGCAUCAGGAGAGCCUGCUCCUCUCCUGCAUGUAUUCAGCGGAUCAGAACAGUC